GGGAGGCGGGAGGAGUAGGGAGGACGCGCGUGACACCAGCGCCGCAGGUUGGCCGCUCUGGCCCGGAGAAGCGCUCUCAAGAGGAAAACAGGAAGCAAGUUGGGGCCGGAUGCCCUUCGAUUGACUUUGAGAAGUAAGAACAGUAACAACAGUCACUGAGCUGGUUUGGACAUUUCUCAUGUAGACAAAGUGAUAAUAUUUUGGAUAAAUUGAAUUAAAUGAAAUAU